rnacentral:rRNA from 1 species
GACGAACGCUGGCGGCGUGCCUAAUACAUGCAAGUAGGACGCAGUUGCGAACGGGUGAGUAAAGCGUAGGUAACUGCCUAUUAGAGGGGGAUAACUAUUGGAAACGAUAGCUAAUACCGCCUACUAGUAGAUGGACCUGCGUUUUAUUAGCUAGUAGGUAGGGUAAGGGCCUACCUAGGCGACGAGACAUAGCCGACGCUAGAGGGUGAUCGGCCACACGGGGACGGAGACACGGCCCAGACUCCUACGGGAGGCAGCAGUAGGGAAUCUUCGGCAAUGUGGGGAACCCUGACCGAGCAACGCCGCGUUAGUGAAGAAGGUUUUCGGAUCGUAAAGCUCUGUUGUUAAGGAAGCGGUACUUAACCAGAAAGGGACGGCUAACUACGUGCCAGCAGCCGCGGUAAUAC